GAAUUCGCCCUUAGAGUUUGAUCCUGGCUCAGGACGAACGCUGGCGGCGCGCCUAACACAUGCAAGUCGAACGAGCGAGAGAGAGCUUGCUUUCUCGAGCGAGUGGCGAACGGGUGAGUAACGCGUGAGGAACCUGCCUCAAAGAGGGGGACAACAGUUGGAAACGACUGCUAAUACCGCAUAAGCCCACGGGUCGGCAUCGACCAGAGGGAAAAGGAGCAAUCCGCUUUGAGAUGGCCUCGCGUCCGAUUAGCUAGUUGGUGAGGUAAUGGCCCACCAAGGCAACGAUCGGUAGCCGGACUGAGAGGUUAAACGGCCACAUUGGGACUGAGACACGGCCCAGACUCCUACGGGAGGCAGCAGUGGGGAAUAUUGCACAAUGGGGGAAACCCUGAUGCAGCGACGCCGCGUGGAGGAAGAAGGUCUCCGGAUUGUAAACUCCUGUUGUUGGGGAAGAUAAUGACGGUACCCAACAAGGAAGUGACGGCUAACUACGUGCCAGCAGCCGCGGUAAAACGUAGGUCACAAGCGUUGUCCGGAAUUACUGGGUGUAAAGGGAGCGCAGGCGGGAAGACAAGUUGGAAGUGAAAUCUAUGGGCUCAACCCAUAAACUGCUUUCAAAACUGUUUUUCUUGAGUAGUGCAGAGGUAGGCGGAAUUCCCGGUGUAGCGGUGGAAUGCGUAGAUAUCGGGAGGAACACCAGUGGCGAAGGCGGCCUACUGGGCACCAACUGACGCUGAGGCUCGAAAGUGUGGGUAGCAAACAGGAUUAGAUACCCUGGUAGUCCACACCAUAAACGAUGAUUACUAGGUGUUGGAGGAUUGACCCCUUCAGUGCCGCAGUUAACACAAUAAGUAAUCCACCUGGGGAGUACGACCGCAAGGUUGAAACUCAAAGGAAUUGACGGGGGCCCGCACAAGCAGUGGAGUAUGUGGUUUAAUUCGACGCAACGCGAAGAACCUUACCAAGUCUUGACAUCCCUUGACAGACAUAGAAAUAUGUAAUCUCUUCGGAGCAAGGAGACAGGUGGUGCAUGGUUGUCGUCAGCUCGUGUCGUGAGAUGUUGGGUUAAGUCCCGCAACGAGCGCAACCCUUAUGGUCAGUUACUACGCAAGAGGACUCUGGCCAGACUGCCGUUGACAAAACGGAGGAAGGUGGGGAUGACGUCAAAUCAUCAUGCCCUUUAUGACUUGGGCUACACACGUACUACAAUGGCGUUAAACAAAGAGAAGCAAGACCGCGAGGUGGAGCAAAACUCAGAAACAACGUCCCAGUUCGGACUGCAGGCUGCAACUCGCCUGCACGAAGUCGGAAUUGCUAGUAAUCGUGGAUCAGCAUGCCACGGUGAAUACGUUCCCGGGCCUUGCACUCACCGCCCGUCA
rnacentral:rRNA from 1 species